rnacentral:rRNA from 1 species
AGGGCACCACCAGGAGUGGAGCCUGCGGCUUAAUUUGACUCAACACGGGAAAACUUACCCGGCCCGGACACUGGAAGGAUUGACAGAUUGAGAGCUCUUUCUUGAUUCAGUGGGUGGUGGUGCAUGGCCGUUCUUAGUUGGUGGAGCGAUUUGUCUGGUUAAUUCCGAUAACGAACGAGACUCUAGCCUGCUAAAUAGACCAGUGGCUUCCUAAAACACGUCACUGGCCGCUUCUUAGAGGGACAGGCGGCGGUUCAGCCGCACGAAACAGAGCAAUAACAGGUCUGUGAUGCCCUUAGAUGUCCGGGGCCGCACGCGCGCUACACUGAAGUGAUCAGCGUGCUUGAGUGAACCUGGUCGGCCACGACUGGGUAACCCAAUGAACCUUCUUCGUGAUUGGGAUAGGGGAUUGUAAUUAUUCCCCUUGAACGAGGAAUUCCCAGUAAGCGCGAGUCAUAAGCUCGCGUUGAUUACGUCCCUGCCCUUUGUACACACCGCCCGUCGCUACUACAGAUUGAA